rnacentral:lncRNA from 1 species
AUGUUAUACCCAUUGGCUCUCCAGCCCUUCAGGAACAUCCAGUGUAAAGGAUGGAUAUCCAGUGUUUGUCUGCAGAUGAGCUUGUUCCUUGAGGAUUCAACCCUGAGAUGCAUUUCUCCUCAGGGGCACCCUGAGCGGAGUACCAACUUGGUGAUCAAGGGUGCAGCCUGCUGCAAUCACUGGUGAGCUCAAAAAGUUCUUGUUUGGAAUCACUGUUUAUAGGAUUGCAUGGACAUUGUCUUUUGGUCAUUAAUUUUAAAGGAUUCAGGUCUUUUUCGAAUUAGUUUAAGAAUAAGGUUGUGCAGUCCCCCUCCCCUUAGAAAGUAACUGUGUUUGUCAGUUCGUCAUACCACAGGGUCCAGUUGUGGUCGGGGAGAGGCUUGAUCAUCCGAGGCCUAUACCAUAUGAACAAAAGGUGUUAAAGGGACUGAAGCAAGACGUAAGGCUUCACUGCACUCUGCAGAUAACAUUGGAAUGGUGUCAAGAUAACUCUUCCUUUGGUUACGAAGAGAAACGAGAUGAGACGCCAUAUUUAUUAAAUUGGCUGAUUGAUUUGUAGUCAAACUCAAAUUCCUUCAUUACUGCCCAUGACAGAUUUAAUGGGAAUAGUAUGCCUGAGGCACUAUUAUUAACAAGCUGUCCAGUUCAAGGAGUGAUCACAUUGAGACCUGCCGUGGCUCACAAGCCUGAGCAAGACUUAAGCCAUGUGUAGGAGCAGAGCGUACCUGCCAUAACUUGACUCUCGUAUUAAUAUUUUCAAUUUAAUCACAGAAUUGUAGGGGUUGGAAGUGACCUCAAGAGAUCAUCGGGUUCAACCACCCUGCCAAAGUAGGUUCCCUAGAGCAGGUAAAUAGUCUCAAUACAAAUUAAGCCUCACCAGCAAUAUUGUUGAAAUCAUUUUAUUUGCCCUUUCUACUAUCUACCCUUUCCUCUGGUGCUGUAUUCACCUUCUGUGCCCAAACAUCAACAGGACCAACCUCCUUUCAACAAUAGUGAGGGGUGUCACAGCAAGCCCUUGCCAACCUGGGGCCUGCACUAGGGGAGUUCCUCACUGGUGGUUGGGGGUUCCUUCCUUUUCAGUCAUGGAAUCUGCCGUGGGGUUGCUGCCUUCUGGCUGCUCCCAGCAGAGUGUUAUCAACACUUCUACCCACAAAUUCAAAAUACAUCAGCAUAUGAGAUUCUAUGA